UAACACGUAGGGGGCGAGCGUUGUCCGGAUUUAUUGGGCGUAAAGAGCUCGUAGGUGGCUCGGUAAGUCGGGUGUGAAAUUUCGAGGCUCAACCUCGAGACGCCACCUGAUACUGCUGUGGCUAGAGUCCGGUAGGGGAGCGUGGAAUUCCUGGUGUAGCGGUGAAAUGCGCAGAUAUCAGGAGGAACACCAGCGGCGAAGGCGGCGCUCUGGGCCGGUACUGACACUGAGGAGCGAAAGCGUGGGGAUCAAACAGG
rnacentral:rRNA from 1 species